ACAUUGGUGCUUCAGUGGUAGAAUGCCUGCCUUCCAUGUGGAAGACCCAGGUUUGAUUCCUGGCCAAUGCA
rnacentral:tRNA from 1 species